rnacentral:rRNA from 1 species
CCUACGGGAGGCUGCAGUGGGGAAUAUUGCACAAUGGGCGCAAGCCUGAUGCAGCGACGCCGCGUGAGCGAUGAAGGCCUUCGGGUCGUAAAGCUCUGUCCUAAGGGAAGAAUAAUGACGGUACCUUAGGAGGAAGCCCCGGCUAACUACGUGCCAGCAGCCGCGUUAAUACGUAGGGGGCGAGCGUUACCCGGAAGAACUGGGCGUAAAGGGUGCGUAGGCGGCCCUGCAAGUGAGGAGUGAAAUCCCUCGGCUCAACCGAGGUCAGCUCUUGAAACUGUAGGGCUUGAGUGCAGGAGAGGAGCGCGGAAUUCCUAGUGUAACGGUAAAAUGCGUAGAUAUUAGGCGGAACACCAGUGGCGACGGCGGCUCUCUGGACUGCAACUGACGCUGAGGCACGCAAGCGUGGGGAGCGAACAGGAUUAGAUACCCGGGUAGUC